AAUCCCCCGAGGUCGUGUUGGAUGAGAACCUGCGUUCAGGUUCGAGCCGAGCGAAGCGAGACGACAACGCGCAGCGUUGCCCGUAGGGCGAGGCCGAAGGCCGAGUCAAUCCUGCACGAUUGGCAC
rnacentral:sRNA from 2 species